ACUUGGAAACAGGGGCUAAUACCGCAGUAACCAUAGUUACCGCAUGGUAGCUAUGUAAAAGGUGGCUAUGCUACCGCUUUUGGAUGGGCCCGCGGCGCAUUAGCUAGUUGGUGGGGUAAAGGCUUACCAAGGCAAUGAUGCGUAGCCGGACUGAGAGGUUGAUCGGCCACAUUGGGACUGAGACACGGCCCAAACUCCUACGGGAGGCAGCAGUAGGGAAUCUUCCACAAUGGGCGAAAGCCUGAUGGAGCAACGCCGCGUGGGUGAAGAAGGUCUUCGGAUCGUAAAACCCUGUUGUUAGAGAAGAAAGUGCGUGAGAGUAACUGUUCACGUUUCGACGGUAUCUAACCAGAAAGCCACGGCUAACUACGUGCCAGCAGCCGCGGUAAUACGUAGGUGGCAAGCGUUAUCCGGAUUUAUUGGGCGUAAAGGGAACGCAGGCGGUCUUUUAAGUCUGAUGUGAAAGCCUUCGGCUUAACCGGAGUAGUGCAUUGGAAACUGGGAGACUUGUGUGCAGAAGAGGAGAGUGGAACUCCAUGUGUAGCGGUGAAAUGCGUAGAUAUAUGGAAGAACACCAGUGGCGAAAGCGGCUCUCUGGUCUGUAACUGACGCUGAGGUUCGAAAGCGUGGGUAGCAAACAGGAUUAGAUACCCUGGUAGUCCACGCCGUAAACGAUGAAUG
rnacentral:rRNA from 1 species